rnacentral:rRNA from 1 species
UUAAGCGACUAAGCGUACACGGUGGAUGCCCUGGCAGUCAGAGGCGAUGAAGGACGUGCUAAUCUGCGAAAAGCGUCGGUAAGGUGAUAUGAACCGUUAUAACCGGCGAUGUCCGAAUGGGGAAACCCAGUGUGAUUCGUCACACUAUCGUUAACUGAAUACAUAGGUUAACGAGGCGAACCGGGGGAACUGAAACAUCUAAGUACCCCGAGGAAAAGAAAUCAACCGAGAUUCCCCCAGUAGCGGCGAGCGAACGGGGAGCAGCCCAGAGUCUGAAUCAGCUUGUGUGUUAGUGGAACGGUCUGGAAAGUCCGACGGUACAGGGUGAUAGUCCCGUACACCAAAAUGCACAGGCUGUGAACUCGAAGAGUAGGGCGGGACACGUGGUAUCCUGUCUGAAUAUGGGGGGACCAUCCUCCAAGGCUAAAUACUCCUGACUGACCGAUAGUGAACCAGUACCGUGAGGGAAAGGCGAAAAGAACCCCGGCGAGGGGAGUGAAAAAGAACCUGAAACCGUGUACGUACAAGCAGUGGGAGCACCUUCGGGUGUGACUGCGUACCUUUUGUAUAAUGGGUCAGCGACUUAUAUUCUGUAGCAAGGUUAACCGUAUAGGGGAGCCGCAGGGAAACCGAGUCUUAACUGGGCGUUAAGUUGCAGGGUAUAGACCCGAAACCCGGUGAUCUAGCCAUGGGCAGGUUGAAGGUUGGGUAACACUAACUGGAGGACCGAACCGACUAAUGUUGAAAAAUUAGCGGAUGACUUGUGGCUGGGGGUGAAAGGCCAAUCAAACCGGGAGAUAGCUGGUUCUCCCCGAAAGCUAUUUAGGUAGCGCCUCGUGAAUUCAUCUUCGGGGGUAGAGCACUGUUUCGGCUAGGGGGUCAUCCCGACUUACCAACCCGAUGCAAACUACGAAUACCGAAGAAUGUUAUCACGGGAGACACACGGCGGGUGCUAACGUCCGUCGUGAAGAGGGAAACAACCCAGACCGCCAGCUAAGGUCCCAAAGUCAUGGUUAAGUGGGAAACGAUGUGGGAAGGCACAGACAGCCAGGAUGUUGGCUUAGAAGCAGCCAUCAUUUAAAGAAAGCGUAAUAGCUCACUGGUCGAGUCGGCCUGCGCGGAAGAUGUAACGGGGCUAAACCAUGCACCGAAGCUGCGGCAGCGACACUAUGUGUUGUUGGGUAGGGGAGCGUUCUGUAAGCCUGCGAAGGUGACCUGUGAGGGUUGCUGGAGGUAUCAGAAGUGCGAAUGCUGACAUAAGUAACGAUAAAGCGGGUGAAAAGCCCGCUCGCCGGAAGACCAAGGGUUCCUGUCCAACGUUAAUCGGGGCAGGGUGAGUCGACCCCUAAGGCGAGGCCGAAAGGCGUAGUCGAUGGGAAACAGGUUAAUAUUCCUGUACUUGGUGUUACUGCGAAGGGGGGACGGAGAAGGCUAUGUUAGCCGGGCGACGGUUGUCCCGGUUUAAGCAUGUAGGCUGGUUGUCCAGGCAAAUCCGGAUAAUCAAGGCUGAGGUGUGAUGACGAGGUACUACGGUGCUGAAGUAACAAAUGCCCUGCUUCCAGGAAAAGCCUCUAAGCAUCAGGUAACAUCAAAUCGUACCCCAAACCGACACAGGUGGUCAGGUAGAGAAUACCAAGGCGCUUGAGAGAACUCGGGUGAAGGAACUAGGCAAAAUGGUGCCGUAACUUCGGGAGAAGGCACGCUGGUGUGUAGGUGAAGUCCCUGCGGAUGGAGCUGAGACCAGUCGAAGAUACCAGCUGGCUGCAACUGUUUAUUAAAAACACAGCACUGUGCAAACACGAAAGUGGACGUAUACGGUGUGACGCCUGCCCGGUGCCGGAAGGUUAAUUGAUGGGGUUAUCCGUAAGGAGAAGCUCUUGAUCGAAGCCCCGGUAAACGGCGGCCGUAACUAUAACGGUCCUAAGGUAGCGAAAUUCCUUGUCGGGUAAGUUCCGACCUGCACGAAUGGCGUAAUGAUGGCCAGGCUGUCUCCACCCGAGACUCAGUGAAAUUGAACUCGCUGUGAAGAUGCAGUGUACCCGCGGCAAGACGGAAAGACCCCGUGAACCUUUACUAUAGCUUGACACUGAACAUUGAGCCUUGAUGUGUAGGAUAGGUGGGAGGCUUUGAAGCGUGGACGCCAGUCUGCGUGGAGCCAACCUUGAAAUACCACCCUUUAAUGUUUGAUGUUCUAACGUUGGCCCCUUAUCGGGGUUGCGGACAGUGUCUGGUGGGUAGUUUGACUGGGGCGGUCUCCUCCCAAAGCGUAACGGAGGAGCACGAAGGUUAGCUAAUCCUGGUCGGACAUCAGGAGGUUAGUGCAAUGGCAUAAGCUAGCUUGACUGCGAGCGUGACGGCGCGAGCAGGUGCGAAAGCAGGUCAUAGUGAUCCGGUGGUUCUGAAUGGAAGGGCCAUCGCUCAACGGAUAAAAGGUACUCCGGGGAUAACAGGCUGAUACCGCCCAAGAGUUCAUAUCGACGGCGGUGUUUGGCACCUCGAUGUCGGCUCAUCACAUCCUGGGGCUGAAGUAGGUCCCAAGGGUAUGGCUGUUCGCCAUUUAAAGUGGUACGCGAGCUGGGUUUAGAACGUCGUGAGACAGUUCGGUCCCUAUCUGCCGUGGGCGCUGGAGAAUUGAGGGGGGCUGCUCCUAGUACGAGAGGACCGGAGUGGACGCAUCACUGGUGUUCGGGUUGUCAUGCCAAUGGCACUGCCCGGUAGCUAAAUGCGGAAGAGAUAAGUGCUGAAAGCAUCUAAGCACGAAACUUGCCCCGAGAUGAGUUCUCCCUGAGACUUUAAGUCUCCUGAAGGAACGUUGAAGACGACGACGUUGAUAGGCCGGGUGUGUAAGCGCAGCGAUGCGUUGAGCUAACCGGUACUAAUGAACCGUGAGGCUUAACCUU